AUUGAACGCUGGCGGAAUGCUUUACACAUGCAAGUCGAGCGGCAGCGCGGGGCAACCUGGCGGCGAGCGGCGAACGGGUGAGUAAUGCAUCGGAACAUGUCCAAUCGUGGGGAUAGCCCGGCGAAAGCCGGAUUAAUACCGCAUACGCCCGAGAGGGGAAAGUGGGGGACUCGCAAGAGCCUCACGCGACUGGGUUGGCCGAUGUCCGAUUAGCUAGUUGGCGGGGUAAAGGCCCACCAAGGCGAUGAUCGGUAGCUGGUCUGAGAGGAUGAUCGGCCCACCUGGAACUGCGACACGGUCCAGACUCCUACGGGAGGCAGCAGUGGGGAAUUUUGGACAAUGGGGGAAACCCUGAUCCAGCCAUUCCGCGUGAGUGAAGAAGGCCUUCGGGUUGUAAAGCUCUUUUGUCCGGAGCGAAACGGACACGUCGAAUACGCGUGUCUACUGACGGUACCGGAAGAAUAAGCACCGGCUAACUACGUGCCAGCAGCCGCCGUAA
rnacentral:rRNA from 1 species